AGGCGUAUAGCUCAGUUGGUUAGAGCGCUACCUUGACAUGGUAGAGGUCGCUAGUUCGAAUCUAGUUACGCCUA
rnacentral:tRNA from 1 species